AUGAAAUUGGACGAAACUUAUGCUGUUGUUGUUCAUAAGUGUGAGCAGAGAAUUUCUCACGACCGAAGUUUGCUACUCUCUUUCAAUCAGAGACCACCUGGUGCAUAUUUUGGACUAAUGGCAAGUCUAGGUACUCCUGCUAUAUCUGUAGAUGCUUCAGUGCAGCCCUCGGUGAUUCCCACUUAUGCAAGCAUACAGAUUGGUAACACUCAGUACAAGUGCGUGUGCACUACCUCAGGCUUAUUUGGCAAAUGGUUAGAGAAGUCUGGGAGCAGUAAAAACAGCAAGGUUGUUUCACAAGCAUCUGGACCGGAUGGUCGAUCCGGAGUAGCAGACUGCAAUGCUAUCUGCCAUACUACUUCCAGCAAUAGUCUAACUAGAGAACUUCCAGUACAACAUGUGUCGUAUGAGCUUGUGCUAUUCCUGGCGUGUCUACUGGGCAUUUUUAACACGCAGCUUGAUGCCUACAACAACAUCUGCUUCCUGUUUCAGCUCUGUUCAGCUUCUCCGCUCCACCAGCGGGGCGGUUCUUGGGAUCCUGGAGGGCUCGCAUUACGUUUGUCAUUGGAAUUGGCUCGCCGGGAGGUCUUUGCAGGAGGGAUGUGUAUCAUCAUCUUAGUUGUCCGCUUCCUCGUCCACAUGAGCGACAUUUCACUGCAUCGACUGCUUGGACUCCUAUCGACUCAAGGGCAUUUUCAAGAAGGGACGGGUGUCAUCACCGUCUCCGCCAUCUUCGCGCAAAGCUCCACCGACCACAAGUGCUACCUCGGCUUCGACCGCGGCGGUGUUAGCCACGACUACGCCAUCACCACGUUCUUCGACGGGAUUUUCAUUGGCCGCAAGUACUACCUCCCCAUCAUUGCAGUCUACCUUGACUUCGGCUACCGCCGCGGCUCCAACCAAGCCCAGGAACAUCGAGCACCAUGGGACCCAGGCGGCGAUGUCGGCUUAGGGUCAAGCCGAGUCUCAUGGAGGGAGGGAUGUCGGCGACUGGAUGUGCAGGGUCCUUGA
rnacentral:rRNA from 1 species